rnacentral:rRNA from 1 species
UUCGGGCGAGACCACGGUCUAAGUUCAUUGGAACAUGGCGUCAUAGAGGGUGAGAAUCCCGUAUGUGACUGUGGAUCGAGCCCAUGUGAAGCCUCUUCGACGAGUCGAGUUGUUUGGGAAUGCAGCUCAAAAUGGGUGGUAAAUUUCAUCUAAAGCUAAAUACUGGCUGGAGACCGAUAGCGCACAAGUAGAGUGAUCGAAAGAUGAAAAGCACUUUGGAAAGAGAGUCAAACAGUACGUGAAAUUGUUGAAAGGGAAGCGCUCGCAACCAGACCUGUCCGUAGGUGAUCAGCCGCUGUUCUCAGUGGUGCACUCGCUCUGCGAUCAGGCCAGCAUCGGUUCCGGCGGCCGGAUAAAGGCCUUGGGAAUGUAGCUCCCCUCGGGGAGUCUUAUAGCCCUCGGUGCAAUGCGGCCAGCCGGGACCGAGGACCGCGCUUCGGCUAGGAUGCUGGCGUAAUGGUUGUGAGCGACCCGUCUUGAAACACGGACCAAGGAGUCUAACAUCUAUGCGAGUGUUUGGGUGUCAAACCCAUGCGCGGAAUGAAAGUGAACGGAGGUGAGAACCCUGAAGGGCGCAUCAUCGACCGAUCCAGAUGUCUUCGGAUGGAUUUGAGUAUGAGCAUAGCUGUUGGGACCCGAAAGAUGGUGAACUAUGCCUGAAUAGGGUGAAGCCAGAGGAAACUCUGGUGGAGGCUCGCAGCGGUUCUGACGUGCAAAUCGAUCGUCAAAUUUGGGUAUAGGGGCGAAAGACUAAUCGAACCAUCUAGUAGCUGGUUCCUG